UUGAAUGACCAUAUCAACCGGAAUGCGCUCAAUCACGUUACGAUCUCAGAAGCUAAGCAGGUAUGAGCCUAUAUAGUGCUGGGAUGGGUGACCACAAUGUACGCACUAGGUGGCUGUGGGGC
rnacentral:rRNA from 1 species